GACGAACGCUGGCGGCGUGCUUAACACAUGCAAGUCGAACGGAAAGCCCUGCUUUUGUGGGGUGCUCGAGUGGCGAACGGGUGAGUAACACGUGAGUAACCUGCCCUUGACUUUGGGUUAACUUCAGGAAACUGGGGCUAAUACCGGUUAGGAGCUCCUGCUGCAUGGUGGGGGUUGGAAAGUUUCGGCGGUUGGGGAUGGACUCGCGGCUUAUCAGCUUGUUGGUGGGGUAGUGGCUUACCAAGGCUUUGACGGGUAGCCGGCCUGAGAGGGUGACCGGCCACAAUGGGACUGAGAUACGGCCCAGACUCCUACGGGAGGCAGCAGUGGGGAAUAUUGCACAAUGGGCGGAAGCCUGAUGCAGCAACGCCGCGUGCGGGAUGACGGCCUUCGGGUUGUAAACCGCUUUCGCCUGUGACGAAGCGUGAGUGACGGUAAUGGGUAAAGAAGCACCGGCUAACUACGUG
rnacentral:rRNA from 1 species